UUCAAGGUCAUUCUCUGCACAUAGUGAGU
rnacentral:piRNA from 1 species